rnacentral:rRNA from 1 species
CAGCCCACGGUAAAACGGAGGGUGCAAGCGUUAAUCGGAAUUACUGGGCGUAAAGCGCACGCAGGCGGUCUGUUAAGUCAGAUGUGAAAUCCCCGGGCUCAACCCGGGAACUGCAUUUGAAACUGGCAGGCUUGAGUCUUGUAGAGGGGGGUAGAAUUCCAGGUGUAGCGGUGAAAUGCGUAGAGAUCUGGAGGAAUACCGGUGGCGAAGGCGGCCCCCUGGACAAAGACUGACGCUCAGGUGCGAAAGCGUGGGGAGCAAACAGGAUUAGAUACCCCAGUAGUCCCUGUCUCUUAUACAC